rnacentral:tRNA from 1 species
AAUAUUUUAGUUUAUACAAACAAUGGAUUGUGGUGCCAUAAAAACUAAUAUAAUU